rnacentral:lncRNA from 1 species
UGGAGCUGCGGCGGGCCAAGGCUUCGUGGGGCUCGUGGAGCUGAGAGGUGGCAUGGUGUCUGACCCCUGCCCCAACCACUGAAUUUUCGUUACGUCCUGGAUUGCAAAGGACCUCAGAGCAAUCUUUGGUAGAUAACAUGAUCACGAAGGAUUAUAGCUUUGCCCUGAUAAUGACAAAGGAAGUAUCUACCAGAAGAAGUUAGCACUUAAUCUUUCUUACCCCACCAGCGAAUGUAAACGACAUUGAAAAGGGACUACAAGUUCUGAGGUUCACUAGAGAAAGAUACUAGAAGACCUGCUGAGGGUCUCUGAGAAGUUAAAAAUGCUGAUAUGCAUAAUUUGUGUAUUUUAUUUUUCCCUCCUGAGCUUUUCGAAGGAGAUGCAUAGCUUGGUGGUGAGGAUUCACACAGCACGGUCAAGACCCUGGAUUGGAUCCCUGGCACUGGUUUGUUUGUAUCAGUGAAAAUACACACUGUGCCUUUGUUAGAAGUUAAUAAAAUUCAGCUGACAUGUAGAUCUUCCUUUCAAAAAGCUAGGCAGGCUGCUUUUAAAAUUGCCAAAACACAAUAGGAACCCUCAAAGAUAUAUGGAGAUGAUGGUAGUUAAUAGGCAGUUUUCAAAGACUUGGCUUAUGUUGUGAGAAGCAGCCCCAGAAGUGGCAAAAGCCAUUCUUGUGACUUCAGCAACCUAAAAACCUCAGAAAUAUGACGAUUCUUCUACCUGUAAUGAUGGUAAGUACCAAAAAGGAAACAGUAUUUACCGUUUCUCUUCUGCCCUUUGAUUGAAAUGUAGAAAUGGUUCAGACUAAUGAGUCUUUGUUUUAAUAAGAUAUUUAUAUGAGUAAUAACCUUAGCUUGAGUUAUGUGGAAGACUGAUGUAUUGAAAGAAAAUAACAGGUUGGAUGAAAAUAGUGUGAAAAAUGGGGCCGAUAUAAUGUGAUGGGUUCUAUAAAUUUGUCAUGUAUUUGAAGUAUUCUAGCCUUCUAUAUAAUGGAUAGUCAACCAAAAUGUGUGGAAAAAAUAUCAGUGUCUUUUAUAAACACUACAAAUUAAGUCUUAACUUUCAUAGGAAAAAAAUUCCAUAUUCUUUAGAAACUUAUGGGAAAACAUUUUACCAGGAAAAAAAAUGUAUCUUUCAGACCUCUUUGAUUAUGGUAAAUGCCACUCCCCAUUUCCUUACAUUGAUACAGAUAGGCACAUCAUUUAGCAAGUACGGUUUGGGGGUUUUUUAUCUUUUUCCCUUGGAGUAAAUCUUCAUUUUACCUAAUAAGAGAACUAAAAUUUUUCAUAUUUUAGAUAUUC